rnacentral:rRNA from 1 species
UACAGAGGGUGCAAGCGUUAUCCGGAAUUAUUGGGCGUAAAGAGCUCGUAGGCGGUUUGUCGCGUCUGCUGUGAAAACUGGAGGCUCAACCUCCAGCCUGCAGUGGGUACGGGCAAACUAGAGUGCGGUAGGGGAGAUUGGAAUUCCUGGUGUAGCGGUGGAAUGCGCAGAUAUCAGGAGGAACACCGAUGGCGAAGGCAGAUCUCUGGGCCGUAACUGACGCUGAGGAGCGAAAGCAUGGGGAGCGAACAGG